UACGAAGGGUGCAAGCGUUACUCGGAAUUACUGGGCGUAAAGCGUGCGUAGGUGGUUUGUUAAGACAGGUGUGAAAUCCCCAGGCUUAACCUGGGAACUGCGCUUGUUACUGGCAAGCUGGAGUGUGGCAGAGGGGGGUGGAAUUCCACGUGUAGCAGUGAAAUGCGUAGAGAUGUGGAGGAACACCGAUGGCGAAGGCAGCCCCCUGGGCUAACACUGACGCUCAUGCACGAAAGCGUGGGGAGCAAACAGG
rnacentral:rRNA from 1 species